CGACCCGUCUUGAAACACGGAC
rnacentral:snRNA from 1 species